GAUGAACGCUGGCGGCGUGCCUAAUACAUGCAAGUAGAACGCUGAAGGAGGAGCUUGCUCUUUCCGGAUGAGUUGCGAACGGGUGAGUAACGCGUAGGUAACCUGCCUGGUAGCGGGGGAUAACUAUUGGAAACGAUAGCUAAUACCGCAUAACAGUAGAUAUUGCAUGAUAUUUGCUUGAAAGGGGCAAUUGCUCCACUACCAGAUGGACCUGCGUUGUAUUAGCUAGUUGGUGAGGUAACGGCUCACCAAGGCGACGAUACAUAGCCGACCUGAGAGGGUGAUCGGCCACACUGGGACUGAGACACGGCCCAGACGCCUACGGGAGGCAGCAGUAGGGAAUCUUCGGCAAUGGACGGAAGUCUGACCGAGCAACGCCGCGUGAGUGAAGAAGGUGUUCGGAUCGUAAAGCUCUGUUGUAAGAGAAGAACGAGUGUGGGAGUGGAAAGUGCACACUGUGACGGUAUCUUACCAGAAAGGGACGGCUAACUACGU
rnacentral:rRNA from 1 species